GGCGGAAUGGCCGAGCGGUCUAAGGCGCUAGAAUCAGGAGCUGGCAGCAGUCCCAUCUAGUCCGAAAGGGCGUGGGUUCGAAUCCCACUUCCGUCA
rnacentral:tRNA from 1 species